GGUUAAGCGACUAAGCGUACACGGUGGAUGCCCUGGCAGUCAGAGGCGAUGAAGGACGUGCUAAUCUGCGAAAAGCGCCGGCGAGGUGAUAUGAACCCUUGACCCGGCGAUGUCCGAAUGGGGAAACCCAGUGCAAUCCGUUGCACUAUCGUUAACUGAAUACAUAGGUUAACGAGGCGAACCGGGGGAACUGAAACAUCUAAGUACCCCGAGGAAAAGAAAUCAACCGAGAUUCCCCCAGUAGCGGCGAGCGAACGGGGAGCAGCCCAGAGUCUGAAUCAGCUUGUGUGUUAGUGGAAGCGUCUGGAAAGUCGCACGGUACAGGGUGAUAGUCCCGUACACGAAAGCACACAGGCUGUGAACUCGAAGAGUAGGGCGGGACACGUGGUAUCCUGUCUGAAUAUGGGGGGACCAUCCUCCAAGGCUAAAUACUCCUGACUGACCGAUAGUGAACCAGUACCGUGAGGGAAAGGCGAAAAGAACCCCGGCGAGGGGAGUGAAAAAGAACCUGAAACCGUGUACGUACAAGCAGUGGGAGCACCUUCGGGUGUGACUGCGUACCUUUUGUAUAAUGGGUCAGCGACUUAUAUUCUGUAGCAAGGUUAACCGUAUAGGGGAGCCGAAGGGAAACCGAGUCUUAACUGGGCGUUAAGUUGCAGGGUAUAGACCCGAAACCCGGUGAUCUAGCCAUGGGCAGGUUGAAGGUUGGGUAACACUAACUGGAGGACCGAACCGACUAAUGUUGAAAAAUUAGCGGAUGACCUGUGGCUGGGGGUGAAAGGCCAAUCAAACCGGGAGAUAGCUGGUUCUCCCCGAAAGCUAUUUAGGUAGCGCCUCGUGAACUCAUCUUCGGGGGUAGAGCACUGUUUCGGCUAGGGGGCCAUCCCGGCUUACCAACCCGAUGCAAACUACGAAUACCGAAGAAUGUUAUCACGGGAGACACACGGCGGGUGCUAACGUCCGUCGUGAAGAGGGAAACAACCCAGACCGCCAGCUAAGGUCCCAAAGUCAUGGUUAAGUGGGAAACGAUGUGGGAAGGCCCAGACAGCCAGGAUGUUGGCUUAGAAGCAGCCAUCAUUUAAAGAAAGCGUAAUAGCUCACUGGUCGAGUCGGCCUGCGCGGAAGAUGUAACGGGGCUAAACCAUGCACCGAAGCUGCGGCAGCGACACUCUGUGUUGUUGGGUAGGGGAGCGUUCUGUAAGCCGUUGAAGGUGGCCUGUGAGGGUUGCUGGAGGUAUCAGAAGUGCGAAUGCUGACAUAAGUAACGAUAAAGCGGGUGAAAAGCCCGCUCGCCGGAAGACCAAGGGUUCCUGUCCAACGUUAAUCGGGGCAGGGUGAGUCGACCCCUAAGGCGAGGCCGAAAGGCGUAGUCGAUGGGAAACAGGUUAAUAUUCCUGUACUUGGUGUUACUGCGAAGGGGGGACGGAGAAGGCUAUGUUAGCCGGGCGACGGUUGUCCCGGUUUAAGCAUGUAGGCGGAGGUUCCAGGUAAAUCCGGUACCUUUUAACGCUGAGGUGUGAUGACGAGGCACUACGGUGCUGAAGUAACAAAUGCCCUGCUUCCAGGAAAAGCCUCUAAGCAUCAGGUAACAUCAAAUCGUACCCCAAACCGACACAGGUGGUCAGGUAGAGAAUACCAAGGCGCUUGAGAGAACUCGGGUGAAGGAACUAGGCAAAAUGGUGCCGUAACUUCGGGAGAAGGCACGCUGAUAUGUAGGUGAAGCCCCUGCGGGUGGAGCUGAAAUCAGUCGAAGAUACCAGCUGGCUGCAACUGUUUAUUAAAAACACAGCACUGUGCAAACACGAAAGUGGACGUAUACGGUGUGACGCCUGCCCGGUGCCGGAAGGUUAAUUGAUGGGGUUAGCGGCAACGCGAAGCUCUUGAUCGAAGCCCCGGUAAACGGCGGCCGUAACUAUAACGGUCCUAAGGUAGCGAAAUUCCUUGUCGGGUAAGUUCCGACCUGCACGAAUGGCGUAAUGAUGGCCAGGCUGUCUCCACCCGAGACUCAGUGAAAUUGAACUCGCUGUGAAGAUGCAGUGUACCCGCGGCAAGACGGAAAGACCCCGUGAACCUUUACUAUAGCUUGACACUGAACACUGGUCCUUGAUGUGUAGGAUAGGUGGGAGGCUUUGAAGCGUGGACGCCAGUCUGCGUGGAGCCAUCCUUGAAAUACCACCCUUUAAUGGCUGGUGUUCUAACGUAGACCCGUAAUCCGGGUUGCGGACAGUGUCUGGUGGGUAGUUUGACUGGGGCGGUCUCCUCCCAAAGAGUAACGGAGGAGCACGAAGGUUAGCUAAUCCUGGUCGGACAUCAGGAGGUUAGUGCAAUGGCAUAAGCUAGCUUGACUGCGAGAGUGACGGCUCGAGCAGGUGCGAAAGCAGGUCAUAGUGAUCCGGUGGUUCUGAAUGGAAGGGCCAUCGCUCAACGGAUAAAAGGUACUCCGGGGAUAACAGGCUGAUACCGCCCAAGAGUUCAUAUCGACGGCGGUGUUUGGCACCUCGAUGUCGGCUCAUCACAUCCUGGGGCUGAAGUAGGUCCCAAGGGUAUGGCUGUUCGCCAUUUAAAGUGGUACGCGAGCUGGGUUUAGAACGUCGUGAGACAGUUCGGUCCCUAUCUGCCGUGGGCGCUGGAGAAUUGAGGGGGGCUGCUCCUAGUACGAGAGGACCGGAGUGGACGCAUCACUGGUGUUCGGGUUGUCAUGCCAAUGGCACUGCCCGGUAGCUAAAUGCGGAAGAGAUAAGUGCUGAAAGCAUCUAAGCACGAAACUUGCCCCGAGAUGAGUUCUCCCUGAGACUUAAAGUCUCCUGAAGGAACGUUGAAGACGACGACGUUGAUAGGUCGGGUGUGUAAGCGCAGCGAUGCGUUGAGCUAACCGAUACUAAUGAACCGUGAGGCUUAACCUU
rnacentral:rRNA from 1 species